AUCAAUAAGCGGAGGAAAAGAAACUAACAAGGAUUCCCCUAGUAACUGCGAGUGAAGCGGGAAAAGCUCAAAUUUAAAAUCUGGCGGUCUUUUGGCUGUCCGAGUUGUAAUCUAGAGAAGUGUUAUCCGCGCUGGACCGUGUACAAGUCUCCUGGAAUGGAGCAUCAUAGAGGGUGAGAAUCCCGUCUUUGACAUGGACUGCCAGGGCUUUGUGAUGCGCUCUCGAAGAGUCGAGUUGUUUGGGAAUGCAGCUCAAAAUGGGUGGUAAAUUCCAUCUAAAGCUAAAUAUUGGCGAGAGACCGAUAGCGAACAAGUACCGUGAGGGAAAGAUGAAAAGAACUUUGGAAAGAGAGUUAAACAGUACGUGAAAUUGCUGAAAGGGAAACGCUUGAAGUCAGUCGCGUCAUCCAGGGAUCAACCUUGCUUUUGCUUGGUGCACUUCCUGGUUUGAUGGGUCAGCAUCAAUUUUGACCGUUGGAAAAAGGCUGAGGGAAUGUGGCAUCUUUGGAUGUGUUAUAGCCCUCUGUCACAUACAAUGGUUGGGAUUGAGGAACUCAGCACGCCGCAAGGCCGGGUUUUAAACCACGUACGUGCUUAGGAUGCUGGCAAUAUGGCUUUAAUCGACCCGUCUUGAAACACGGACCAAGGAGUCUAACAUGCCUGCGAGUGUUUGGGUGGAAAACCCGAGCGCGUAAUGAAAGUGAAAAGUUGAGAUCCCUGUCGUGGGGAGCAUCGACGCCCGGACCAGACCUUUUGUGACGGUUCCGCGGUAGAGCAUGUAUGUUGGGACCCGAAAGAUGGUGAACUAUGCCUGAAUAGGGUGAAUCCAGAGGAAACUCUGGUGGAGGCUCGUAGCGAUUCUGACGUGCAAAUCGAUCGUCAAAUUUGGGUAUAGGGGCGAAAGACUAAUCGAACCAUCUAGUAGCUGGUUCCUGCC
rnacentral:rRNA from 1 species